CCCUUAGAUGUUCUGGGCUACACCCGUGCUACACUGGCAGGUUCAGCGAGCUUCAUGCCCUGAUCUGAAAGGAAUGGGAAAUCUUUUCAAAACCUGCCGUGCUUGGGAUAGAUGUUUGCAAUUAUUCAUCUUCAACGAGGAUUGCCUUGUAAGCGCACGUCAUCAGCGUGCAUUGAAUACGACCCUGUAUUCUGUACACACCGCCCGUCGCUCCUACCGAUUGAAGUUUUCGGUGAGUUGACAGGAGGAUUUUUUUGAAACUGGUUCGCCAGUGGAUUUUAGAUCCAAAUGCCAACGAAUCGAUGGCUUUAGAGGAAGGAGAAGUCGUAACA
rnacentral:rRNA from 1 species